rnacentral:rRNA from 1 species
CCUACGGGUGGCAGCAGUGAGGAAUAUUGGUCAAUGGGCGAGAGCCUGAACCAGCCAAGUCGCGUGAGGGAGUACUGCCCUAUGGGUUGUAAACCUCUUUUGUCGGGGAGCAAAAGCCGGACGUGUCCGGCUGUGAGAGUACCCGAAGAAAAAGCAGCGGCUAACUCCGUGCCAGCAGCCGCGGUAAUACGGAGGAUGCGAGCGUUAACCGGAUUUAUUGGGUUUAAAGGGUGCGCAGGCGGAUUUUUAAGUCUGCGGUAAAAUCGUGGGGCUCAACCCCAUCCAGCCGUUGAAACUGGGGAUCUAGAGUGUGCGAGAGGUAUGCGGAAUGCGUGGUGUAGCGGUGAAAUGCAUAGAUAUCACGCAGAACCCCGAUUGCGAAGGCAGCAUACCGGUGCACAACUGACGCUCAGGCACGAAAGCGUGGGUAUCGAACAGGAUUAGAUACCCUUGUAGUC